rnacentral:lncRNA from 1 species
CUUUCAACAAAAAGAUAAGUUUCAAAUAUAAAUAUUAAAUAGUAAAUAAAUAGAUUUUUUUGGAGAUUUUCUUUGUUCAAUACUUCAAGUAGCUGUUUUCAAUUUAAAAUUGAUGAAAGUGAAGAAAUCAAUAUUUAAGUUUUAACUUAGAAGAAUUGUAAAAAAAAAAAAAAAUUAAAAAAAAUUAAAAAGAUAAUUAUGCUCGUCUAGACGCGCAUAACCGCGCUUAGACAUAUAUUAGCGGUCAAACAAUUACUGUUGAUCGCUAAAUAAAGCGUCAAGCCGCUUAGUUCAAUGUUUCUGCCAAGCAUCGCUCAUUGACGACGUCAAUGCACGCUUUUUAGAACAAUGAAUAAAAUAAUUAUUUGAAGAACGUCAAAUUAUGAAAUACACAUCGCCGUGAAAUAGAGCACAGAUGACUCAGUUGUAAAAUUAUGAAAUUUUUCUUUCCUUUUUUUAUGCUAUUUAUUGUUACCAAAAAUUAUAGUCGAGAUCUUAAUUGCAAGCAGAGGGAGGAGAACUAAUAUAAAUUUGGGAUGUUUGCUUCCAGUACAUGAAAUAAAGGCUGCAAUACAUGUAUUAAUGAAUGUAAACUAUAAAUUGUGAAUAAUGUCAAAUAAUGAAUGAAACAUACUAUAGGUACAAU